rnacentral:misc_RNA from 1 species
UCCCCGGGAACGCUUCCACCGUCACUAAGGAAGAUGGCUUCACAUAUUGUUGGAUAUCCUCGCAUGGGCCCAAAGAGAGAGCUCAAGUUUGCUUUGGAGUCAUUUUGGGAUGGCAAGAGCAGCGCCGAUGAUCUACAAAAGGUUGCUGCAGACCUUAGAUCUUCCAUCUGGAAGCAAAUGUCCGAUGCCGGGAUCAAGUACAUCCCGAGCAACACCUUUUCGUACUACGAUCAAGUACUCGAUACCACUGCAAUGCUCGGUGCUGUCCCUGAAAGAUAUGGUUGGACUGGUGGAGAAAUCGGGUUCGACACAUUCUUUUCUAUGGCUAGAGGAAAUGCUACACUACCUGCUAUGGAGAUGACCAAGUGGUUCGACACCAACUACCAUUUCAUUGUUCCUGAAUUGGGCCCUAACACCGCCUUCACAUAUGCUUCUCACAAGGCAGUGUCUGAGUACAAGGAGGCAAAGGCGCUUGGCAUUGAUACCAUUCCAGUCCUUAUUGGACCUGUUUCGUAUCUGUUGGUUUCAAAGCCUGCUAAAGGAGUUGAAAAGUCAUUUUCUCCUCUGUCGCUCUUAGAAAAAGUUCUGCCUGUAUACAAGGAAGUCAUUGCUGAGUUGAAAGCAGCCGGUGCUUCUUGGAUUCAGUUUGAUGAGCCCACUCUUGUGCUGGAUCUCGAGUCUCACCAGUUGGAAGCAUUCACCAAGGCCUAUUCGGAACUUGAAUCAUCGUUCGUGGGUUUGAACACUCUUAUCGAGACCUACUUUGCUGAUGUUCCUGCCGAAGCAUACAAGACUAUCACAAGCUUGAAGGGAAUCUCUGGUUUUGGAUUUGAUCUUGUCCGUGGCACCAAGACCCUUGACCUUAUCCAAAGUGACUCCUUUCCAUCCGAUAAAUUCCUUUUUGCUGGACUUGUUGAUGGGAGGAAUAUCUGGGCUAACGAUCUCGCUGCUUCCCUCAGUACCCUUGAAUCCCUGGAGGCUAUUGUUGGAAAAGACAAG